AUAUCAGUCAUGCAUAGCAUAUCAAUAAGCGGAGGAAAAGAAACUAACAAGGAUUCCCUUAGUAACGGCGAGUGAAGCGGGAAGAGCUCAAAUUUGAAAUCUUCAAGGUUUUACCUUGACGAAUUGUAGUUUAAAGAAGUGUUUUCUGUUGGAGUUUUGGUAAAAGGUUCUUUGGAAUAGGACAUCAUAGAGGGUGAGAAUCCCGUAUUUGACCAUUACUUUCCAGCUGUGUGAUACACUUUCAAAGAGUCGGAUUGUUUGGGAAUGCAGUCCAAAAUGGGUGGUAAAUUUCAUCUAAAGCUAAAUAUUGGCGAGAGACCGAUAGCGAACAAGUACCGUGAGGGAAAGAUGAAAAGAACUUUGAAAAGAGAGUUAAACAGUACGUGAAAUUGUCAAAAGGGAAGCGUUUGACACCAGUGUUGUUUUUCCGAAAAUCAAUUACGAAUGUUUUAUUUUUGAGGAGUUAUGACUUCAUCGGCUUGCUCCUUUCUUUAUGAAACUUUCUUAAUGCACUUUUCGGUUAACAAGUCAACAUCAAUUUCUUUUGUUGUAAAAGGGUAUGAGGAAGGUGGCUUUCUUUUCGGAGAAAGUGUUUAUAGCCUUGUGCCUCUGCAAUCGGAGAGAUUGAGGUCUGCAGCGUAGAUCCUUCGGGGUUAGAUACGUUUGUGCUAAGUUAUAGCUUUUCAUAGACAACUUGUUGACUAUGUUAAGUCUUGUAGCUUACUCGCUGACGCUAUUUUACCUACGCUUAGGAUGUUGAUCUCUCACAGUCGAGC
rnacentral:rRNA from 1 species